CGGCCGGGACGACCCGGCCGGGCACGGCAUGCAGGGACGACCCUG
rnacentral:ncRNA from 1 species